UACGAAGGGGGCGAGCGUUGUUCGGAUUUACUGGGCGUAAAGGGCGCGCAGGCGGCGAGUUUUGUCAGGCGUGAAAGCCCCGGGCUCAACCUGGGAAUUGCGCUUGAAACGGGCUUGCUAGAGAUCGGGAGAGGAGAGUGGAAUUCCCAGUGUAGAGGUGAAAUUCGUAGAUAUUGGGAAGAACACCGGUGGCGAAGGCGGCUCUCUGGACCGAUACUGACGCUGAGGCGCGAAAGCGUGGGGAGCAAACAGGG
rnacentral:rRNA from 1 species